rnacentral:rRNA from 1 species
UACGUAGGUGGCAAGCGUUGUCCGGAUUUACUGGGCGUAAAGAGCGCGCAGGCGGCUGGUCAAGUCCGAUGUGAAAUCUCCCGGCUUAACUGGGAAACUGCAUCGGAAACUGAUCGGCUUGAAGGUGGGAGAGGGUAGUGGAAUUCCCGGUGUAGCAGUGAAAUGCGUAGAGAUCGGGAGGAACACCAGUGGCGAAGGCGGCCUUCUGGACCAGUACUGACGCUCAUGCACGAAAGCGUGGGGAGCAAACAGG